rnacentral:lncRNA from 1 species
GUAAGUUCCAUGUGCCUUGGCUCAACUUCUGGUCCUCGCAGGAGACAGCCUUCUGCAAAAAAGCACACAGCAUGGCUUAAAGGGAAAAUAGUGGGUAUUUUGGCAGUUUUACACCACAGAUAGUGUACCAGUGACACUAAAUUGAAGUCAUUUAGUUGUAAAUGUGAUAUUACAUUUGAUGGUUUCCACUGGCAAAGCACUGAGCUGCCCACGUUAAACAGAGGCAAAGAAAUGGAACUUGGAGAGCAAAGCCAGUCACCAGAGUAGCAGACCAAAGGGGCUUGUAAAAGCGUUUGUCGAGUCAUUUAGAAUCAUAACUCAGCUCAACACACAUGGUACCAGGAACAGCCAGCUCAGUUUCAGCAGUGGAAAGCAGGCAAUGGAGUUUAUGUUGUUCUUCUGUUUAUUAAAGACGGAUGGGAGCACUCGACAGAAAAAUCAAACUUCUGGUCAUGGCUCAUUAAUCCCUGUUGUAUCUGUCAGGGGUAUGUGUUUGGAGUUCCAACAAGCCUCUAGAAGGAAGAUCACUGCUGAGCUUUGGUAUUUUCUCUAAUUUUGAAUGGAAAGAGACGCCAAUCACCUAGAAGGAGAAAUAGAAUACGAGGUUAUUUUUAACUCACCUACUUUAGUGGUCAUUAAACAUAAAUGAGUUGGUUUAAGACAAAAAUGAUUAUGGUUAAUAAUUUUAUUGCCAAUUUUUGUCAUAGGGCUUUCUUUAGGAGAAGCAGUAAGGUAAAGACAAAUGUGGAAUAAAGCCAGAUAUUAUGGCUGUUCUAGGAAAAGCUCAGCUUUUGGAGAUAGAUCUUUGGGUGAACCUGUGCAGACUCUUUGUGUGUGCCUGUGGUCAUUGAAGUGCAGCUUCUAUCAAAUUGUCUCCUGCCUCCUAAGCUGGAGAUGGAGAUAAGACCCUGGUCUACCCAGACUGUUUACAACAACCCAGAAGACAGGAGCAGCGCUAUUCUGAUCCCUGUGUUGGAAACAAUGGUCCUUUGUGAGACGAUAAACACACACCGUUGGCCAGGCGCAGUAGCUCACACCUGUAAUCCCAGCACUUUGGGAGGCCGAGGCGGAU